rnacentral:misc_RNA from 1 species
AGAUGAUAUUUUUUUUUAGAAAAAUAAUUUUAAUCCUUCAACCCUAAUGCUAAAUAGGCAUAAUUUUAUAAACCAUUUUUAUAUAACAAUAAUGGAUUUAAAUUCUAUAUAUUUAUCAUUUAAACUUUAGUGGACAAUUUCAAUUUUCAAAUGCUCGCACAUUUAUUUAUUGGGCUAAGAAAAUGAGCCGAGCAGCUCGUGAGUUGCUCGAGAUUUUGCUCGAUAAAAGUUCGGUUCAGCUCGGUUCAUUUAAAAAAUAAGCCAAGUUCGAAUUUAAAUUUUAAACUCGUUCAAUAAAUGAACCAAGCUCAAACUUAACAGUAUUUAGCUCGUUAAUGCUCUUAAAUAAGCUUGUUUCAUACUCGCUAGUUAGUUUCAUA